rnacentral:sRNA from 1 species
UCCGUAGGUGAACCUGCGGAAGGAUCAUUACUGAUUUGCUUAAUUGCACCACAUGUGUUUUGUUUUGGACAAACUUGCUUUGGCGGUGGGCCCCUGCCUGCCGCCAGAGGACAUAAACUUACAACCAAAUUUUUUAUAAACUUGUCACGAGAUUAUUUUUAAUAGUCAAAACUUUCAACAACGGAUCUCUUGGUUCUCGCAUCGAUGAAGAACGCAGCGAAAUGCGAUACGUAAUAUGAAUUGCAGAUAUUCGUGAAUCAUCGAAUCUUUGAACGCACAUUGCGCCCUCUGGUAUUCCGGAGGGCAUGCCUGUUUGAGCGUCGUUUCUCCCUCAAACCCCUAGGGUUUGGUGUUGAGCAAUACGACUUGGGUUUGCUUGAAAGAUGAUAGUGGUAAGGCGGAGAUUGCUUGACAAUGGCUUAGGUGUAACCAAAAACAUUGCUAAGGCGGUCUCUGGCGUCGCCCAUUUUAUUCUUCAAACUUUGACCUCAAAUCAGGUAGGACUACCCGCUGAACUUAAGCAUAUCAAUAAGCGGAGGAAAAGA